rnacentral:rRNA from 1 species
GUAGGUGGCAAGCGUUGUCCGGGAUUAUUGGGCGUAAAGCGCGCGCAGGCGGUUCUUUAAGUCUGAUGUGAAAGCCCACGGCUCAACCGUGGAGGGUCAUUGGAAACUGGAGAACUUGAGUACAGAAGAGGAAAGCGGAAUUCCACGUGUAGCGGUGAAAUGCGUAGAGAUGUGGAGGGACACCAGUGGCGAAGGCGGCUUUCUGGUCUGUAACUGACGCUGAGGCGCGAAAGCGUGGGGAGCAAACAGGAUUAGAUACCCUGGUAGUCCACGCCGUAAACGAUGAGUGCUAAGUGUUAGGGGGUUUCCGCCCCCCUUAGUGCUGCAGCUAACGCAUUAAGCACUCCGCCUGGGAGUACGGCCGCAAGGCUG